rnacentral:misc_RNA from 1 species
AAGUCGUAACAAGGUUUCCGUAGGUGAACCUGCGGAAGGAUCAUUAAAUAAUCAAUAAUCUUGGCUUGUCCAUUAUUAUCUAUUUACUGUGAACUGUAUUAUUAUUUGACAUUUGAGGGAUGUUCCAAUGUUAUAAGGAUAGACAUUGGAAAUGUUAACCGAGUCAUAAUCAGGUUUAGGCCUGGUAUCCUAUUAUUAUUUACCAAAUGAAUUCAGAAUUAAUAUUGUAACAUAGACCUAAAAAAUCUAUAAAACAACUUUUAACAACGGAUCUCUUGGUUCUC